rnacentral:rRNA from 1 species
AGCUCCAAGAGCGUAUAUUAAAGUUGUUGCAGUUAAAAAGCUCGUAGUUGGAUUUCUGGUACAACGCGCCUGGCCCGCUUAUGUGAGUGCCGGUGCGCGUUUGCCAUCCUUCUAGAAAACGUUUCUACCCGGGCAACUGGGCCGGACUCGCGAUCUAGAUCUUUUACUUUGAAAAAAUUAGAGUGUUUAAAGCAGGCUUUUGCUGUGAAUACAUUAGCAUGGAAUAAUAAUCUAGGACUUCGGUUCUAUUUUGUUGGUUUCUAGUACUGAAGUAAUGAUUGAUAGGGAUAGUUGGGGGUGCUAGUAUUGGCCGGCCAGAGGUGAAAUUCUUGGAUUCGGUCAAGACUAACUUAUGCGAAAGCAUUCACCAAGGAUGUCUUCUUUAAUCAAGAACGAAAGU